UGAUUAAUAGAAGAACCACAGCUACACCAACUCGUGCCCAAAAUGCAGACUUCAGUGAAUCUGUGAUACGAACCAUCCUGACCAAUCAAGAAGUCAUCAAAGAUCAGAUGGGCAUUUUGGUGAAGCUAGUUCAUCAGUUAAAGGGGACUGCAGAAGAGAGCCCAUCUCUACCACCGGAAACACUUCCGGUUGCAACCCUUCAAGAGCUUCUGGUUUUGGAGGGACAGCUGCUUGAUCAAGAAUUCAAGAAAACUCUGACGAUUACCUUGGCACAAAGAGGAGGUACAGCCGUUAAGGACACUGUUUGGGGAAUGAUG